UGAGUACGAGAUGCUACGGCAUCGAAGCAGUCUAUGUCAUACUUCCAAGAAAAGCUUGCACUGUCAUAAACAAAGAAUGCCUGUACCAUAACCGACACAGGUGGGUAGGUAGAGUAUACUAAGGGGCGCGAGAUAACUCUCUCUAAGGAACUCGGCAAAAUGACUCCGUAACUUCGGGAGAAGGAGUGCCUUAUUUCUAAGGUUGCAAUAACAAGAUCCAAGCAACUGUUUACCAAAAACACAGGUCUCCGCUAAGUCGUAAGACGAUGUAUGGGGGCUGACGCCUGCCCAGUGCCAGAAGGUUAAAGAAGUUGGUUAGCAUUAGCGAAGCUGAUAACUGAAGCCCUGGUGAACGGCGGCCGUAACUAUAACGGUCCUAAGGUAGCGAAAUUCCUUGUCGGGUAAGUUCCGACCCGCACGAAAGGCGUAAUGAUUUGGAUACUGUCUCGGAGAGGGGCUCGGUGGGAUAGACUUGUCUGUGAAGAUGCGGACUACCUGCACCUGGACAGAAAGACCCUAUGAAGCUUUACUGUAACUUGAGAUUGAAAUUGGACUUUAUUUGCGCAGUAUAGGUGGGAGGCGUUGAGAAUAAUCUUGCGGGAUUGUUGGAGCCAUCAGUGAGAUACCACUCUUGUAAUGUUAGAUUUCUAACUUUGUAUCAUUAUCUGGUCAAAGAACAGUUUCAGGCGGGCAGUUUGACUGGGGCGGUCGCCUCCCAAAGGGUAACGGAGGCGCACAAAGGUUUCCUCUGAACGGAUAGAAAUCGUAUCUAGAGUGUAAAGGCAUAAGGAAGCUUGACUGUGAGACCUACAAGUCGAGCAGGGACGAAAGUCGGUCUUAGUGAUCUGACGGUGCUGAGUGGAAAGGCCGUCACUCAACGGAUAAAAGUUACUCUAAGGAUAACAGGCUGAUCUCCCCCAAGAGUUCACAUCGACGGGGAGGUUUGGCACCUCGAUGUCGGCUCAUCGCAUCCUGGGGCGGUAGUCCGUCCCAAGGGUUGGGCUGUUCGCCCAUGAAAGCGGUACGCGAGCUGGGUUCAGAACGUCGUGAGACAGUUCGGUCCAUAUCCGGUGUAGGCGUUAGAAUAUUGAGAGGAGCCUUCUCUAGUACGAGAGGACCGAGAAGGACAUACCUCUGGUGUACCAGUUAUCGUGCCAACGGUAAACGCUGGGUAGCUAUGUAUGGAGUGGAUAACCGCUGAAAGCAUCUAAGUGGGAAGCCCACCUCAAGAUAAG
rnacentral:rRNA from 1 species